rnacentral:rRNA from 1 species
GGCUCAGAUUGAACGCUGGCGGAAUGCUUUACACAUGCAAGUCGAACGGCAGCACGGACUUCGGUCUGGUGGCGAGUGGCGAACGGGUGAGUAAUACAUCGGAACGUGCCCGGACGUGGGGGGAUAACUACUCGAAAGAGUGGCUAAUACCGCAUACGAUCCAAGGAUGAAAGCGGGGGGAUCGCAAGACCUCGCGCGUUUGGAGCGGCCGAUGGCAGAUUAGCUAGAUGGUAAGGUAACGGCUUACCAUGGCUACGAUAGGUAGGGGUCCUGAGAGGGAGAUCCCCCACACUGGUACUGAGACACGGACCAGACUCCUACGGGAGGCAGCAGUGAGGAAUAUUGGACAAUGGGCGCAAGCCUGAUCCAGCCAUGCCGCGCGCAGGAAGAAGCAUCUAUGGUGUGUAAACUGCUUUUGUACGGGAAGAAACACUCCUACGUGUAGGAGCUUGACGGUACCGUAAGAAUAAGGAUCGGCUAACUCCGUG